rnacentral:rRNA from 1 species
UACGUAGGGUGCAAGCGUUAUCCGGAAUUAUUGGGCGUAAAGAGCUCGUAGGCGGUUUGUCGCGUCUGCUGUGAAAACCCGAGGCUCAACCUCGGGCCUGCAGUGGGUACGGGCAGACUAGAGUGCGGUAGGGGAGAUUGGAAUUCCUGGUGUAGUGGUGAAAUGCGUAGAGAUCAGGCAGAACGACCUGGGGCGAAGGCGGCCGGCUGGGCCGAUACUGACGCUGAGGAGCGAAAGCGUGGGGAGCAAACAGG